GACGAACGCUGGCGGCGUGCUUAACACAUGCAAGUCGAACGGAAAGGCCCUGCUUUUGUGGGGUGCUCGAGUGGCGAACGGGUGAGUAACACGUGAGUAACCUGCCCUUGACUUUGGGAUAACUUCAGGAAACUGGGGCUAAUACCGGAUAGGAGCUCCUGCUGCAUGGUGGGGGUUGGAAAGUUUCGGCGGUUGGGGAUGGACUCGCGGCUUAUCAGCUUGUUGGUGGGGUAGUGGCUUACCAAGGCUUUGACGGGUAGCCGGCCUGGGAGGGUGACCGGCCACAUUGGGACUGAGAUACGGCCCAGACUCCUACGGGAGGCAGCAGUGGGGAAUAUUGCACAAUGGGCGGAAGCCUGAUGCAGCAACGCCGCGUGCGGGAUAACGGCCUUCGGGUUGUAAACCGCUUUCGCAUGUGACGAAGCGUGAGUGACGGUAAUGGGUAAAGAAGCACCGGCUAACUACGUG
rnacentral:rRNA from 1 species